rnacentral:rRNA from 1 species
CCCGCUGAACUUAAGCAUAUCAAUAAGCGCAGUAAAGGAAACUAACAAGGAUUCCCCUAGUAACUGCGAGUGACGCGGGAAAAGCUCAAAUUUAAAAUCUGGUGGUCUUUGGCCAUCCGAGUUGUAAUUUAGAGAAGUGUCUUCCGCGCUGGACCAUGCACAAGUCUCCUGGAAUGGAGCGUCAUAGAGGGUGAGAAUCCCGUCUUUGGCAUGGACACACCAGGGCUUCUGUGAUGCGCUCUCGAAGAGUCGAGUUGUUUGGGAAUGCAGCUCAAAAUGGGUGGUGAACUUCAUCUAAAGCUAAAUAUUGGCGAGAGACCGAUAGCGAACAAGUACCGUGAGGGAAAGAUGAAAAGCACUUUGGAAAGAGAGUGAAACAGUACGUGAAAUUGUUGAAAGGGAAACGCUUGAAGUCAGUCGCGUCGGCCGAGACUCAGCCUUGCCUCGGCUUGGUGUAUUUCUUGGCCCGACGGGUCAGCAUCAAUUUUGCCCCUUGGAUAAUGGCUAGGGAAAUGUGACACCUUUAUAGGUGUGUUAUAGUCUCUCGUCGCAUGCAAGGGUCAGGAUUGAGGAACUCAGCAUGCACCUUCGGGUGUCGGGGCUUUUGUCCACGAUACAUGCUUAGGAUGUUGGCGUAAUGGCUUUAAACGACCCGUCUUGAAACACGG